AUUGGUGACGACGUGACUCGUCGAUUCGCUCGUCGCGAUAAUGUUGGUGGCAACUUUCAUCAGACAUCAUCGACCGAUCUCGUUUCGUGUCGUGUCUUAUUUUUCCACCAUCUCAUUCUUGACUUUCGUGGCCAGUUGAUCAGCCCUGAUCACGAUGUACUCUGGCAUCGAUAACGUUUGUGAACAAGAAUCAGAAAUGCAUUAUUCCAUAAAACUCGAAGUCGCAGCACGUGUUUUGCAUAUUAUCUGUUGAGAAAAUAGUGGUGAUUCCAGUUUUGAUGACCUGUCCACGUUGAUGCUGCAUCGCUACGCAAAGGAACCAACUCAUGCGUUUAUUUCGAGCCACCCUGCUGCCUCCAUUUCCCGAAAUAUCUCAUGAAUGAGACAUUUUGUGACGACUUGCUGCUGUCCACAUGUUUUGAACCUUCGUCAUUUUUCGAGGCCCUGCAGCUGUUGACGCAUAGCCAUUGGUACUGGACAAUCCAAAGUACAACAGAAAUGACGGAAAUGCAAAGGAUAACAGCGUCAUCGCGUGGUAGAAAAAUAAAGCUUGUACUGGCCACCUACCGGGCAUUUAGAAAAGCUUAUUUAUUGGACUGCCACUGCCACGGUGUCCGGUUCCCAUUUGAAUCCGAACUUUCGUCGUCGCAACUUGAUGUCUGUCGAUGACUUGGUUUGCAUUUCAACAAAUCAAAUUCUGCUGGCUCAUCUUUCUGUCUAUGAGGCUGCAUCCUCGUCUGGUGAAUGAUUCAUGAUGGGUUAAUCCUCCAUUGCACAAGCAGUUGCAUGUACCACCUCGGUUUUUAAAGGUUGGUUGAAGGAGGUAUCCUAUAGUAAAGGUUCUCUUGUGGUACGUGGUAGCAGUUGAAGAAGCAGUGAACUACCGAUUGAGACCGCGAUAUGCUGUAUUCCAUCUUAUUCUGCAGGCAUAAGAGAUUUUGGGUGUUGUCGUGUCACGGAUUAUGGUUUUGUGGACUGUUACUAGGAGUUCGCUACCUUGGCUUUUCAACUGAUUUCAGGUGGUCUUGUCGACAAUCAGCAAUUGAUUGUUGAAUUGGGAGGAUAUUGACGCGGGGCUGACAUGUUCAACGCCUUUUCUUAUGGGAUUAUGGGUGUCUUGGUGUGUCCGGAUUGCCAGCUAGAAUAUUUUGCUCGUUUCUUCGCUGUUUCUGCUGUCCUGUAGCGCUAGGUAUAUGGGCAAUGUUUGGAAUUGGUUGGCGAGUCCAAUUGGAUGAUACAGUUUUGUGGCCGUUUCCUUCUACUGUCAGGAUGCCUGUGGAUGAUUCAUUUGUCAUUUUGACUUGAGUGUGUGCUGCUUUCUUAUGUUCCUGAGGUUGAUCACAUGUUAGGUGAUACAUGGUGGUUGGCAUGAAGAGGCAUCUAGUAACAAAGUUGCUUCUGGGUUCCGUCUACGCAUGGUGUAUUGUUGAAGUGUAUGUCAAGUCGGGAGUUAACACUGGCUAUUUAGUUGAUCUGCUGAUGUCUUGGAGAUAUACUCCAAGCACACCAAAUGAAGGGUUUCUGGCAUUUUGACGACGAAUUCCAGUGGUAGCGUACAUAACAUAGGAUGUCUUGAUGACACCAAAUGUCAUUGUAAAGAUUAUAAAAAGAUGUUUAAGGUAUUUGACAAAUGUGUUUAAUAAAGUGACUUUUUGGUUAUUCUUAAAUUGACAGGAAAAACCUAAAGUUGGAGGAUGAUGCAUUUGUUUCCUAGUACUAGAGGAUUUUAUACAUUAAAGGGGCUUUCUCUUUAUGCUUGUUUCCAUAAUGGGUAUGGUUUUCAAUCAACUAAAUUGGGUCCAUUUUUUUAAGUAGAGCAGUUAGUUUUUCUUGUACAUAGUUUUCCGUCAUAUAAGUAGUGUCUAGCAGUAUUUUCCUUCUUUAGAUAUAACGUACGGUACUACGUACGUUUAGGUAUAACCUGUUGUAGCACUUUGUGCUUGUGCAAUUUUCUCCCUCCUAUUGAUCAUGUUGUUUGAAGUUGUGUUGUGUGUAUCUGAAUUAUUUGAUAUUCCUUGAAAAUGGCAAAUAUUGCGACAGUCGAGUUUGGUUUCAAAUAAAUGAAACAUUCACACGUAAAA
rnacentral:lncRNA from 1 species